ACCUCACUAGCGACCAUUCAUUACGCGGGCUCCAUUGCCUCCAACCGGCGCGAAGCAGACACCAAACUAAAAUACAAAUACGAUAUACGACUUUUCAUCCAUUUUUCUCCAUUCCGACAGACAAUUUUUCAUCUCUGACAGCUGUCAGUUUUGCGCGCCAUUUCCACGAACUUUUUGUUCUAAUACUUUUUUUGUCUGUGUUGUUUUUUUGUGAAUACUGCCGGGUUAAUAAAGCCUUCCGGUGGAUAUUAAAAGAUACAGUAUGUCACAAAACUGCAAAUCAACGUACACAGCGGCGACGACGCGCGACGCCAACAACAACACCCUGUACCACGGGGCCAGCGCGGGGUACGGAGGCAGGGGGUACGCGCCACCCAACAAAAACUCUAAUAACAACUAUCAGCAAGUGACGGCGAAAGUGCUGUUCGGCAGCGUAACGGCGAUCAAUGACCUCAAGCGCCAGGAGAAGGCCGAGCGGGAAGUUCGGCGAACGCAUUAGCGCCAUCUAGUAACAGAAUGAAAACUAUGAUCAUGUGAUACGAAGAAAAUCAUGGAAGCUACGGAGUGAUCUCGGAAGACAGAAAAUAAUGUGCAUAAAAUAUAUUUUUUUAGAUUCAUAAUAUUAUACUUAGAUUAUAGAUAUUACUCCUAUAUUGUCUAAGAUCUUAUAGAAAAUUAUUUACUACGUAAAAUUUUACCUGAUUGUAUUAGAUACCUGAAAAAAAAAUGUUUAUAAAAUAAACAUGACCUCCCGCUGUCUUUCAAAAUAUUUUAAGCUUUAUAAAAAGUACAUAAUUUUAAAUGUAGGAUACUUCGUUAAAUUUUACAAAACCUAUUUAAAAAUGUUUUGUCAGGAGUUUUAUUUUUUUAUAAAAAAAGGAAAAGGACAAUUCAAUAUUUUUGAUUUUGCUAAAACAUUAAGACUGUGAAGCUACAAUUUGUUUCUCGAAUUACUGGGUUUAAUUGUUUUUAAUUAAAAUAAAGAAUGAAAACUGAGUUUAAGAAAUCUUAAAAUGCUAUAAAUGUUUUAAACCACUUCAAGUACAAUGAAUCAAGAAUAGGUUACCUGAAAAGUUUUUUAUUGAAAUUUAAAUUUAUCACUGUUUAUGUUUAAUUACGUUUGAUUUUUAUAAAAUAAA